rnacentral:rRNA from 1 species
GAUGAACGCUGGCGGCGUGCCUAAUACAUGCAAGUCGAGCGAACGGACGAGAAGCUUGCUUCUCUGAUGUUAGCGGCGGACGGGUGAGUAACACGUGGAUAACCGACCUAUAAGACUGGGAUAACUUCGGGAAACCGGGGCUAACACCGGAUGAUAUUUUGAAACGCAUGGUUCAAAAGUGAAAGACGGUUUUGAUGUCACUUAUAGAUGGAUCCGCGCUGCAUUAGCUAGUUGGUAAGGUAACGGCUUACCAAGGCAACGAUGCGUAGCCGACCUGAGAGGGUGAUCGGCCACACUGGAACUGAGACACGGUCCAGACUCCUACGGGAGGCAGCAGUAGGGAAUCUUCCGCAAUGGGCGAAAGCCUGACGGAGCAACGCCGCGUGAGUGAUGAAGGUCUUCGGAUCGUAAAACUCUGUUAUUAGGGACGAACAUAUGUGUAAGUAACUGUGCACAUCUUGACGGUACCUAAUCAGAAAGCCACGGCUAACUACGUG